UACAAGAGAUGAGAGUGCACAUGAAG
rnacentral:piRNA from 1 species